rnacentral:rRNA from 1 species
GAUGAACGCUGGCGGCGUGCCUAAUACAUGCCAGUCGAGCGAACAGACGAGGAGCUUGCUCCUCUGACGUUAGCGGCGGACGGGUGAGUAACACGUGGAUAACCUACCUAUAAGACUGGGAUAACUUCGGGAAACCGGAGCUAAUACCGGAUAAUAUAUUGAACCGCAUAGUUCAAUAGUGAAAGACGGUUUUGCUGUCACUUAUAGAUGGAUCCGCGCCGCAUUAGCUAGUUGGUAAGGUAACGGCUUACCAAGGCGACGAUGCGUAGCCGACCUGAGAGGGUGAUCGGCCACACUGGAACUGAGACACGGUCCAGACUCCUACGGGAGGCAGCAGUAGGGAAUCUUCCGCAAUGGGCGAAAGCCUGACGGAGCAACGCCGCGUGAGUGAUGAAGGUCUUCGGAUCGUAAAACUCUGUUAUUAGGGAAGAACAAAUGUGUAAGUAACUAUGCACGUCUUGACGGUACCUAAUCAGAAAGCCACGGCUAACUACGUG